GCUACACAUGCAAGUCGAACGGUAACAGGAAGCAGCUUGCUGCUUUGCUGACGAGUGGCGGACGGGUGAGUAAUGUCUGGGAAACUGCCUGAUGGAGGGGGAUAACUACUGGAAACGGUAGCUAAUACCGCAUAACGUCGCAAGACCAAAGAGGGGGACCUUCGGGCCUCUUGCCAUCGGAUGUGCCCAGAUGGGAUUAGCUAGUAGGUGGGGUAACGGCUCACCUAGGCGACGAUCCCUAGCUGGUCUGAGAGGAUGACCAGCCACACUGGAACUGAGACACGGUCCAGACUCCUACGGGAGGCAGCAGUGGGGAAUAUUGCACAAUGGGCGCAAGCCUGAUGCAGCCAUGCCGCGUGUGUGAAGAAGGCCUUCGGGUUGUAAAGCACUUUCAGCGGGGAGGAAGGCGGUAAGGUUAAUAACCUUGCCGAUUGACGUUACCCGCAAAAGAAGCACCGGCUAACUCCGUGCCAGCAGCCGCGGUAAUACGGAGGGUGCAAGCGUUAAUCGGAAUUACUGGGCGUAAAGCGCACGCAGGCGGUCUGUCAAGUCGGAUGUGAAAUCCCCGGGCUCAACCUGGGAACUGCAUUCGAAACUGGCAGGCUAGAGUCUUGUAGAGGGGGGUAGAAUUCCAGGUGUAGCGGUGAAAUGCGUAGAGAUCUGGAGGAAUACCGGUGGCGAAGGCGGCCCCCUGGACAAAGACUGACGCUCAGGUGCGAAAGCGUGGGGAGCAAACAGGAUUAGAUACCUGGUAGUCCACGCCGUAAACGAUGUCGACUUGCAGUUGUGCCCUUGAGCGUGCUUUCGAGCUAACGCGUGAGUCGACGACUGGGAGUACGCGCAAGGUAAACUCAAUGAUUGACGGGGCCGCCAGCG
rnacentral:rRNA from 1 species